rnacentral:rRNA from 1 species
CCUGGCGGCGAGUGGCGAACGGGUGAGUAAUAUAUCGGAACGUACCCAAGAGUGGGGGAUAACGUAGCGAAAGUUACGCUAAUACCGCAUACGAUCUAUGGAUGAAAGCAGGGGACCGCAAGGCCUUGUGCUCCUGGAGCGGCCGAUAUCUGAUUAGCUAGUUGGUGAGGUAAAGGCUCACCAAGGCGACGAUCAGUAGCUGGUCUGAGAGGACGACCAGCCACACUGGAACUGAGACACGGUC